rnacentral:rRNA from 1 species
CCUACGGGUGGCUGCAGUGGGGAAUAUUGGACAAUGGGGGGAACCCUGAUCCAGCCAUGCCGCGUGUGUGAAGAAGGCCCUCGGGUUGUAAAGCACUUUCAGUGAGGAAGAACGCCUGGUGGUUAAUACCCAUCAGGAAAGACAUCACUCACAGAAGAAGCACCGGCUAACUCCGUGCCAGCAGCCGCGGUAAUACGGAGGGUGCGAGCGUUAAUCGGAAUUACUGGGCGUAAAGCGCGCGUAGGUGGCUUGAUAAGCCGGUUGUGAAAGCCCCGGGCUCAACCUGGGAACGGCAUCCGGAACUGUCAAGCUAGAGUGCAGGAGAGGAAGGUAGAAUUCCCGGUGUAGCGGUGAAAUGCGUAGAGAUCGGGAGGAAUACCAGUGGCGAAGGCGGCCUUCUGGACUGACACUGACACUGAGGUGCGAAAGCGUGGGUAGCAAACAGGAUUAGAUACCCCUGUAAUC